rnacentral:snRNA from 1 species
AUUGUCGGUUGUUUAAGAUGCCAUGAUUACGAAGGUGGUUUCCCAGGGCGAGGCUCACCCAGUGCACUCCGGGUGUGCUACCCCUGAGAUUUCCCCAAAUGUGGGAAACUCCACUGCAUAAUGGUAGUGGGGUACUGCGUUUGCGCUCUCCCCUG